GACGAACGCUGGCGGCGUGCCUAAUACAUGCAAGUCGAGCGAGCGGAACUAACAGAUUUACUUCGGUAAUGACGUUAGGAGAGCGAGCGGCGGAUGGGUGAGUAACACGUGGGGAACCUGCCCCAUAGUCUGGGAUACCACUUGGAAACAGGUGCUAAUACCGGAUAAGAAAGCAGAUCGCAUGAUCAGCUUUUAAAAGGCGGCGUAAGCUGUCGCUAUGGGAUGGCCCCGCGGCGUAUUAACUAGUUGGUGGGGUAACGGCCUACCAAGGUGAUGAUACGUAGCCGAACUGAGAGGUUGAUCGGCCACAUUGGGACUGAGACACGGCCCAAACUCCUACGGGAGGCAGCAGUAGGGAAUCUUCCACAAUGGACGCAAGUCUGAUGGAGCAACGCCGCGUGAGUGAAGAAGGUCUUCGGAUCGUAAACUCUGUUGUUAGAGAAGAACACGAG
rnacentral:rRNA from 1 species